rnacentral:lncRNA from 1 species
AUGCUUUCUUAUUCUCAGGACCCAGAAGGCAAUCGAAUACAACAGUGGGUGAAUGAGGAGUCUGUGGGAGGGAUUCUACAACUCUCCUUCCAGUUAAUCUCAGAGCCCAUCCUCGGAUGGUAUGAAAUCACCGUGGAGAUGCUCAAUGAGAAGAAAACAUAUCACUCCUUCUCUGUGGAAGAAUAUGUGUUACCCAAAUUUCAAAUGACUGUGGAUGCACCAGAAAAUAUCUUAGUUGUGGACUCUGAAUUCAAAGUGAAUGUCUGUGCCUUAUAUACCUAUGGUGAACCUGUGGACGGGAAGGUCCAACUUAGUGUGUGCAGAGAAUCUACGGCUUAUCAUUCAUGUGCUCAUCUUAUCAGUUCACUCUGUAAAAAUUUUACCAUUCAGGUAAGAGGUAUAUCAGCAAAAUUAUAAAUAGGUUUGCAUUAACUUUUUAUCCUCACCUUCCAUUUACCUUCCUUUCUUGUUUUCCUCUUUACAG